CCCUUAGAUGUUCUGGGCCGCACGCGCGCUACACUGAUCAGUGCAACAAGCAUCCGUCCUUGGCCGACAGGCCCGGGCAAUCUUUGAACGCUGAUCGUGAUGGGGAUAGACUUUUGCAAUUUUUGGUCUUCAGCGAGGAAUUCCUAGUAAACGCAAGUCAUCAACUUGCAUUGAUUACGUCCCUGCCCUUUGUACACACCGCCCGUCGCACCUACCGAUUGAAUGGUCCGGUGAAGCCUCCGGAUUGGCGUGCACCCUCGGGUGCUGCCGAGAAGUUGGCUAAACCUUACCAUUUAGAGGAAGGUGAAGUCGUAACA
rnacentral:rRNA from 1 species